UAGAGUUUAGACCUGUGGAAUCUAUUAAUCAUCCAAAGUACCACUGAGGAACCCAGUUAACAAGAGUGACGUUUUCUGCACGCGCAUCCAUUAACGGUUUGGAUGUAACUGGUGUUGUUGCGCGCGCGAGGGCGGGACUGGUGCUCAAAGCAAUAAGGCGCGAGCUAUGCAUCGCACGUGCACACACACGCACACACAAACACACACGCACGCGCGCUCACAGAGAGAAACAAAGGGACCCAUCAACGCUAGCACGGACACGCACACGCUCCAACUUUUUUUUGUUGUUAUCCACCCAGCGGAUGCGAGCUGUUCGCUCUGCCCAGAUCUGCGGGAUUUUAUAAGAAGACAUUUCAUGACUGUUUUCAACCUUGGGAUUUUGGAUUAUAUCAUUUUGGGAACACUUUAGAGAUUAAGGAUUACCCACAACUGCUUUUUCUAUUAGUGGAUUAUUCCUUUGGGAUUAUUGCACUAUCCAUGACAGGAAGACAUUGUGGAGAUUGCUUCCUCAGUGCCUAUAAACAUGCCUGGGAUUAUUCCCGUUCCUGCAGAGACGGGAAUUUCAUCUGCAGGUAGCUUUUAAACCCCUACCAGAGUUCAAGGUAAAUCAUUUAAGAACAGAUUCAGGCUUUAGUGGAGAUCUGGAGACUUUGGAGACAUCUUUAACCUUUCAGGAUGAUGGAGAUUUUCCUACACCGGCCUGUGACAAAAGCACCUUACAGUGAACCGGUGGUUAUGUAACUAAGCACAAAGAACGACCCGUGAGUGUUUUCACAAGGUGCAUGUCAGAGCUCGUUGAGAAAACAGCAGCGAGUUGGAAGAAGAGGAGGAUUCAUCCUGAGUCACUGAGUGAAACUGAGCUGUUUUGGUCUUGUUUCAGUGUGAUGGGGUGUCACAUCAGAUGAGCUCGUUUACCUGUGAACUUCCUUUAGAGUGGUUCAUAUGAAGCCACUGCUUGCAACCUUGGGGUAACUAUGGACUAUCGGCUGUCCUUCUCCACACAUGCUGCUAAAGUUCAUUCUCUACAACAUCUGAAGGAUUCAAGCAUUUCUGUCCACACAAGCUGCUCAGGUUCUUGUUCAGUCUCUUGUUAUUUUGAGACUGGACUACUGCAACUCACUGCCGGCAGGUCUUUCUCUGAACGCUAUUUGUCUACUGCAAAUGAUCCAAAACACAGCUGCACGACUUGUGUUCAACCUGCCCAAGUUCUCCCACACCACCUCACUGCUGCGUUCCCUCCACUGGCUUUCGGUAGCUACACGCGUCAGAUUAAAAACACUGAUGCUUGCUUAGAAGACCAAAAAUGAACCAGCACCCUCUUACCUCGGAGACAUUAUCACUCCUCUCAGUGCACCAUGCUGCCUGAGAUCUUAUAGCACUGCUCGACUGGUACUACCUUCUCUCAGGGUAAGAAGAACUCGAGCUGCAUCAAAAAAUGCUUUGGGAACGCUUCUGCGUUGUUCACGCUCUGAAUCUCGUGUAUAACCAGUCCAAUGGAAAUCGCGGCGUCACCGGUGAGAUGACAUCACGACCAGGAAGCAUAAAAGCACAUGAAGUGAAAUCAGUGCUAGCUUCUGUUCUUCAGGAAGCGCUUUGUGUGUGUUUGUCCAGUAAGGUAGGAAAGUUUUUCUUUCUUUCAGGCGGAAAGCGACCGAAAAGACGAAGCACUGCUUUUGUCCCUGUGUUCCUCCUUGCCCCCACUAUAUAACGGUGGAUACGCACCAGCUAUGUGUCACUUGUCUGGGAGUGGAGGAGUUAGGUUCUUGAGGAAGCCGACUGCGUUUGUAUAACAAUUCAACUGCUCCGCUCUCAAAGAGCUCUCUUUGAGGAGGGUGCUCCUGCUCCGCGUGGUUCUGGCCCUGCUCUUGCUGAGGCAAAGCGACAUUCAAGGACUUAAGGCUUACAAGUGGACCUCGCAGAGAGUUUGGAGAAGGGCUCAUCCCUUUUGCCUCCCUCACCUGCCUGGUCCAACACCCGAUCAAAAGGUUUGGAAGCAUGCAAUUCCAUGUUUUUUUUCCUUUGCGAGGAGAGCGCUCAGCCCUGCCUUUCUUCCUCUGAGGAGGGGGGUUGAUGGAGAUCUACAAACCCCAUGAGGCUACCCCUCAGGUAGUCCUUUUCGAGGAGAUCCUAGAGGUAGUGACCCAUGCAGUUGACAAGCUCACGAUCGAUUUGCUGGCCGAUCAGCAGAAGGCUCGUCCAACUAGUAAGCUAGUACGCUUCCUGCAACCCUCAUCACUGCCUCCACACCAGGGCUUGCCUUUAUUUACAGACCUGCACACCUAUGUGUCCAGGUUGUGGUCUAGUCCUUAUUCUUCCUGCCUCUUUAGUCCUAGGGUGUCACUAUAUUCAAAUAUAUUUGGACUGUGGUUAUGGGGCGAUGCACUGGACAAAAAGCUAGCUAAAUCUCCCUGGGUGAUGUGUCGUCUUUUAAAACCCCAGCGCUGUCCACCAAGCCCAUGAGAACCACCUCGGUGCUGGUGGGCAAGGCCUAUGUUUUAGCAGGUCAGGUCUCAGCCUGUCUGCACACCAUGGCUAUGCUGCAGGCCUAUCAGGCCAAUCUGCUGCGGGAGCUAGACGUGGGAGAUGUCACAGCCCCCACCACAACCCAGCACCUUGCGGCAUUGUGAGGUGCAGAGACAGAGCGUCACAAUAUGCACUUCCCCUAAAUCAAUUAAAGCGCUUCGGCCAAAAGGUCCUGACAAAGGACCCUGCUGGGAAAGGGCAUUGUGCACCUCACUAUAUGGUGCCUGCCCUGCUCCAGCACCCUCAGGGAGCUGGUUUGUUAACCAUGACACUCUCGGUGCUUCAGGGCAUGGCCAGCUCCAGCAAACAACCUCCUCGCUCUCCGCCCGGCACCAUAGUGGAUUUUGGGGGUUUGCCGGCUCUCAAGAGGCCCCUAGAGCUGCACCAGAACGUUGCUCUGGCUCUUGGCUUACCAGAGGUCAGUCUCAAGAGGCUCUGCCAGAUGUGUCUCAGUGGGUCCUGCGCACUGUAGACAGAGGCUAUACGAUUCAGUUCGGGUCUUGCCCGCCCCGCUUCAACAUGGUGUCCCCACCCUGGAUGGGGUUCAAUUCAAUUCAAUUCAUUUUUAUUUGUAUAGCGCUUUUAACAAUGAACAUUGUCUCAAAGCAGCUUUACACAGAUAAUGUGGUGA